ncrna:Escherichia coli 53638 C4 antisense RNA
AAUUAUGGUGGGGCGUGCGGGGCAGUCGCAAGACUGGCCGGGUUCCGUGAUGACCGGUUGUAGCAACCCUGUACGUCUCACCACCCAU